rnacentral:rRNA from 2 species
CAUCCUCCAAGGCUAAAUACUCCUGACUGACCGAUAGUGAACCAGUACCGUGAGGGAAAGGCGAAAAGAACCCCGGCGAGGGGAGUGAAAAAGAACCUGAAACCGUGUACGUACAAGCAGUGGGAGCCCCACCACUAAGCCAGUGGUGAACUCCACAUACGCAUCCUUUGCUGAGGAUACGGUUAACGGAGCGAAAGCGACGUUCAACCUCAAAAGAAGCAGAGGGGGCUUAGUGGUGGGGUGACUGCGUACCUUUUGUAUAAUGGGUCAGCGACUUAUAUUCUGUAGCAAGGUUAACCGAAUAGGGGAGCCGGAGGGAAACCGAGUCUUAACCGGGCGUUAAGUUGCAGGGUAUAGACCCGAAACC